UAAUACGGAGGGGGCAAGCGUUGUUCGGAAUUACUGGGCGUAAAGAGCGCGUAGGCGGUUCGGUAAGUCGGUUGUGAAAGCCCUCGGCUUAACCGGGGAAUUGCGAUCGAUACUGCCGAACUAGAGUACGGGAGGGGAGAGUAGAAUUCCCGGUGUAGUGGUGAUAUGCGUAGAUAUCGGGAGGAAUACCAGUGGCGAAGGCGGCCUCCUGGGCUGUUUCUGACGUUGAGGCCCAAAAGCGUGGGGAGCAAACAGGAUUAGAUACCCUGGUAGUCCACGCUGUAAACUAUGGACACUAGGUAUAGGGAGUAUCGACCCUCUCUGUGCCGAAGCUAACGCAUUAAGUGUCCCGCCUGGGGACUACGGCCGCAAGGCUA
rnacentral:rRNA from 1 species